AACAUUCAUAGAAUCGCUUCCAUUUCUUCUGGCACCGUCAAAAUUUUGUUUAGAUUGAAGAAGUUUUGUUUAGGGUUUUCCCGUCGGCCAUACCAGAGUCAAAAUUUCUUCAAUGAAAACAAAAAUUUGAUCUCCAUUUCGCCAUGGAUUUCCAUACCUCGUCAAGGAGAGAACUCCGAAUAAGAUUCCGGCCAAUGUCACUAAUAUCGCCAUGGCCGACGCUCUUGCUGCUCGAUCUUCAAUCCGCUAAAGGAAUCGAGGGGUUUUUGUACGGUGAUAGAGCCUGAAUCGUUUUUUGAUUCUGUACUUUAAUCGUGUAAUUUUAGUUGAAGGAAUCAAGGAGUUUUUGCACCUUGAUAGAUCUGGAAUACCUGAAUAGCCGAUAGAGGUUAUUUCCUCGGGAAUUCCACGAAUUGCAUCGAGAACUUCGAAAAGAAGAAAGGCCCCUCAAAGAUGAAGCAAUUACUACUCGAUCACAUUGAGAACUUCAAAAAGAGAAAAGGCACUCAAUCAUGAGGCGAUUACUACUUGAUCACGCCUAAGUGCAGCUUGAGUUUAGGGGGAGAUCUGAAAAUGGAACCAAUUACUGUCCACAUAUUGUUCAAUGAUAUGCCUAACAGUUCAGAACUCGUGAAGGAAAGUAAGGAAUUAGAAAAUGAAACCAAUUAUUGUUCAUAUGUCUAUUGGUGACAGGUCUAACAGUUCAGAACCCGUGAAGGAAAAUAGCUUCAACUUCCUCUUUAGUGCAGCUAAGUUCUGACCAAACCCACCUUCAAAUUUCCCCCCACAGCUCCAGACUCCAAAAUUUCACAGGAAGAAGAAGACACAGUAGGAGUAGCAGCAGAGAAAACAUGACCAUUCCCCUCUUGAGAUGGAACAAGAGAACCCCCAUUCUUAUCUCUUCCAUCAUGGAUUUUUCUGUGCUUAAUCACAAAAAUCACCUUCUUCACAGGGUACUCACUUCUUUCUUCUUUCGUCUCACCAUUUUCCUCCCCUGUUUUGUUGCAGGACUUGAGUUGCACAUCAGUGGUAGGAGGCUGACAAAUUGCAAUGAUGGGUUUGGUGCAGCCGUUGGAAGAGGUGGGAUCUGGAGGUGAAGGUACAGAGGUGGAAGAAAUUGAAGGUAAAGUCUUCUACUUUUUGCUCAAACAAGCACCCAUUAGAGAUAUUGAGAAAGACCCAACAAUGGAAAUUCUCUAAAGAAGUAGGAAGAAAGAAGAGAGUCUAGGAAAAACGAUGAAUUAGGAAGCAAAUUAGAUGAAGAAUUGAGUGCGUAAGUUGAUGAUGGAGAGAAGAAUAAGAUGGAGUCUGAAGCUACUCUCGGAGGAGCACAAAUGGUUCUUGAUGAUCUGUUAAAAUUUAGUUACUGCAAAGAAGCACCACAUGCUAAUUUGGAUGUGAAAUGUUUCUCUGAAAUGAAAAGUAAAUGAGGCUUCCAAAGAGGUUGAUUCUGUGGAGAUUUCUGCCGAGGAAAUCAAAGUUUUCCAUUGUAAAAGACCUCACCAGCUUUCCCUCUCAGGUACUACAAGAAUCUAUUGGAUCAAUAAAGCCACGUAGCAAUUGAUUGAAUUAGACUUUUUGUAGACUCUUCAAGCUUUGAUUAAGAUUGUAAUUACCAAGCUUUAGUUACCAAUUUGAUUGUAUUUGUCUCUUUGGAAAACAUUCGAUAAACUCCUUGUACUACUAUUUUCUAUGUUUACGUUUAACUGAAGCUUCUAUGUUAUUGUAAUAAACUUUUUAUUUUUUAUUA